UACAGAGGGGGCAAGCGUUAUUCGGAAUUAUUGGGCGUAAAGGGCGCGUAGGCGGCUUGGCAAGUGGAAGGUGAAAUCCCUCGGCUCAACUGCGGAACUGCCUUCCAGACUGCUUUGCUUGAGUCCGGGAGAGGUGAGUGGAAUUCCCAGUGUAGCGGUGAAAUGCGUAGAUAUUGGGAGGAACACCAGUGGCGAAGGCGGCUCACUGGACCGGAACUGACGCUGAGGCGCGAAAGCGUGGGGAGCAAACGGG
rnacentral:rRNA from 1 species